rnacentral:rRNA from 1 species
AUUCCGCGUGAGUGAAGAAGCCUUGGGGUAGUAAAGCUCUUUCGCAAGGGAAGAAACGAUACAGUCUAAUAAACUGUGUUAAUGACGGUACCUUGAUAAGAAGCACCGGCUAACUACGUGCCAGCAGCCGCGGUAAUACGUAGGGUGCGAGCGUUAAUCGGAAUUACUGGGCGUAAAGCGUGCGCAGGCGGUUUUGAAAGUCAGAUGUGAAAUCCCCGGGCUCAACCUGGGAACUGCGUUUGAAACUCCAAAGCUAGAGUAUGGGAGAGGGGGGUAGAAUUCCACGUGUAGCAGUGAAAUGCGUAGAGAUGUGGAGGAAUACCAAUGGCGAAGGCAGCCCCCUGGCUUAAUACUGACGCUCAUGCACGAAAGCGUGGGGAGCAAACAGGAUUAGAUACCCUGGUAGUCCACGCCCUAAACGAUGUCUACCAGUUGUUGGGAGAGUAAAAUCUCUUAGUAACGCAGCUAACGCGUGAAGUAGACCGCCUGGGGAGUACGGUCGCAAGAUUAAAACUCACAGGAAUUGACGGGGGCCCGCACAAGCGGUGGAUUAUGUGGAUUAAUUCGAUGCCACGCGAAAGACCUUACCUGGCCUUGACAUGUAGCGAACUUAGCAGAGAUGCUUUGGU